rnacentral:lncRNA from 1 species
GUUAAGUUCACAAGUCAUUCACAGUUAACUUAUGUAAGCGUAGUGAGGCUCAGUGAUAAUGGAAGUACAAACAUGAUCAUAAAAGGGCAAGCAAAGCUCUUUUUUAAAACAAGGGUGAGUGCAAAACUCCCAAGAGAUGGCAUUCAAUUACAAAUAUGAGACAUUUUUACAGGAUUACAACAUUACAAAUACAGUUGAGUAUCAAAAAUCAUGGAAUCAGACUAACAAUGUCAUUAUAGAAGUUUGGAACAAUGAAAAUUUCUCAUUGAGGAGGCAUAGAUAUGUUAUACAUGUUAGGUGUAUCAGCCUUAAAGUUUAGGUUAACACAACCAAUUCAAGAGAUGAUACUACAACUCUUAACCUAACUCUAUCUUUUAAUUAGGUUCUUGAAGACAAUCUCAACAUAAUUUGAUCUUAGUUAACAAUAGUAGACAGAAUACUUGGAAGAUUGACUGUAGAGAUUUAGUAGAACCCAAACUAAUUACCUUAGGGCAUUGUUUAUACAAUGAGACUCACAUAUGGAAUCAAGUAGUUAUGAAAAUGGAUAGGAACCAUUUAUACCAAUCAUUCAAGUACUACAGAAUCACAGAAGGACAUUAGAAGGAAGAAAUUGAUUCAAAUGACAUAAGCUGAUGUACCCAAACUAAUAUGACAGUUGUGUUUUCAUCAUUAAAGGUUCAUAUCCAUUUUAGUUUAGUCUAUCAGGUGAACCAUUUCAUGUGUAAAUAACACUAAGUCAAAUUAGUAUAGCAUACACGUGGGCCAUCGUAGAACAUCAGGGAGGUAUAAAGUCAAGAUAGGUGCAUAGAAUCAUUUAAAGUUCUUGGUUAAUUACAAAAAAUUAGCAAGACAUAGACUACUAAACUCAAAGACACAUUCAUUAAGAUUACAAAAGUAGUCGACUAGUACAUGGUCUUGUUUUCACAUUGUUAAAAAAACAUAUAACUCCAAAGCUUGAUAAUCGAUCAUAAACUAAUGACAAAUGCAUUAAGGCAGAGAUAACAAUUAUAACAUAUCAUAAGCAUAGUUAAUUAAAAAAAAUAACAAAAUAUACAUGAUUUUAAUUAAAUGAUUUAAAUAGAGGAAGGGUCAAGGCUAACUGACCUUCCUUUGAGCAGAAAACCGAACAAGAAUUCUCUUAGCCGCUUGGAAUCAAGACAUAAACCCCAAUCAGUGAAAACUCGAAACCGGAAAGAGGAAAGAAAUCAAAACUCAGUUAGGAACCCUAGUACCACGACCCAAAAUUCACUAGUCGUGAUGGCACCUAACCCAACCCGCUAGCUAAGCCAACUAAUAACUAUCCAAUUCCAAUAAAGUCAAUCAAACAAUCAAAUAGAGAAGUUAACUGAAUUUUAUACAUUCUCCAAGGACCGGUAGUACAAAUCAUGAGCUUCUAAGAAUAAAAUUUACAAAGACGAUAUGAAAUAUAUACAUCAUCUAUUUGAAAAGUACAUAAACAGAGUUUUAUAAAUCUAAGGCUACCAUGAACAAGAGGCAGCUACAACAGGAACGCAGGUAUAUCUUAAAAUCCAGCUCCCAUCGAACACAGCAACAACGACAGCCAACAUCUGCACGCAAGGUGCCGAAGUGCAGUAUGAGUACAACCGACCCCAUGUACUCAAUAAGUAACAAACCUAAUCUUAGGUUGAAAGUAGUAAUGAGCUGGAACAUAGGUCGCGUCCAACACCAAUAACCAACAAUAGUUCAUAACAAUGUAAAGCAAAUAAUAAAAGAAGUAAUAAGUCAUGAAUGACGUGAUACCGUACAACAUGAGGAAAAAUGCAUCUCUAUGCCUGUAUGUCAUGUGUGCAUGCCAAUGCCAUUUAUCUCGAGAUGAAUCAUGUACUCAUACUCUCAAAGUACUCAAUCUCAUUGUCUCACACCUUCCACUCAUCAAUGCUCAACCACUCAGUACUGUAUAUGGCCCAUACGGCCAGGGAAGAUCCAUCCCGGAAUAUAUAUAUCACUGAUCAUCAGUUACUCAAUACCGAUGAAGGCCAAUCCGGCCCCAUGAGGAAGAUUUAUCUCUAGGUAUAUAAAUGCUUCGAACAAGAUCCAUAUCCAGGGAAGAUCAAUCCCUCAAUAUAAUCAACCGCGCUCACUGGGGGUGUGUACAGACUCCGAAGGGGCUCCUACAGCCCAAGCGCUAUAAUCUGCACGGACAACUCACACGCCAUAGUAUCAAUAUCAGAAUCUGCACAGACAACUCACGUGUCAUAGUAUCAAUAUCAGAAUCUGCACGGACAACUCACGUGAUAUAGUAUCAAUAUCAAAAUCUGCAUGGACAACUCACGUGUUGCACGUACAACUCAUGUGCUAUAGUAUCAAUACCCUCACAAUCAGGCCCUCGGCCUCACUCAGUCACCAACCUCUCCAGUCUCACUCACGGACUCACAAUAUCAUGAAUCUAGCCCAACAACAAUGAUAUGAUGUGUCAAUAAAUAAUAACUAAGACUGAGAUAUGAUAUGAAUACAUGAAUAUGACUGAGUACAAAAUAUCAAUGAAAUUAGUGAGAUGACAGCAAGAAACGACCACUAUGGGUCCCAACAAUAUCGACAUAAAUCCUAAACAUGAUAUCUAGCAUAAUUGACAGCUCAAUUACUUUAUCACAUGGUAAAAACACAGAUAUCAACAAAAUAGGACCACUAUUCAGUGCCUUGAAAACAAUAAAGUCACAAUUCACAGGGUGCACGCCCACACGCCUAUCUCCUAGCAUGUACAUCACCUCAACAUCAAUCACAUAGCACGUAAUUCGGGGUUUCAUACCCUUAACACUAAGUUUAGCAGAGUUACUUAGCUCGAACAAGCCAAUUUCAAAACCGAGCAAGCCAAGCGAUGCUCCAAAAAUUCUAUCACGCACGUAGCGACCUCCGAACGGCUCAAAUCUAGCUAAAAGCAACUCAAAUACAUCAAAUAAAGCCCAAUGAAAUAAUUCUAAAUGAUAAAGAUCGAAUCCUAAAUCAAAUCCCAAAUCUGGCCAAAAAUUAAAUCUGGGCCCACACCGCGGAACCCAAAAAACUCACAGAAUCCGACAACUCAUCAAUUACGAUUUCAACCAUACAAGUUUCACUCAAUUUCGACUCCAAUUCGAUGUUCAAAACUCAAAAAUUCAUAUUAUGAAACUUUAGGCCAAAGCCCCCAAUUUCCUCUUUAAAAUUCCUCAACCAAAAGCUAAAAUCAAAGAUAGAUUCAUGAAAUAUAACCAAAAUCAAGUAGAGAACACUUACCCCAAUUCAUAUGAUGAAAAAUUUCUUUAAGAAUCGCCUUAAUCCGAGCUCUCUAGCUCCAAAAUAUAAAAAUGACUGAAACCCUCGAAAUAGAGUACUUUAUAAUCUGUCCAUGCAUUUCUCUAUGCUAUCACGGACAAACUAAUGCAAUAGUGAAGUACAAAAAAUUUUCAUCUCUUUUUACUCUAUGCAAUCACGGCCAAUCUCCCGCAAUCACGACGAAUAAAUUUUUCCAACAGCCUUCUCCAACUCUUCCGGAAGGCCUCUAGUAUAAUGGUCAUAACCUUUUUCUACAAAACUCCAAAUUACAAUUGUUUUGACUUUUUGAAAACUAGAGAUCAAGGGCUACAGCUUUUAUAUUUGGAUCAUCUCCAAAUUCCUUAUAGAUUGUGAGAUAUAAGCUUCCAAAGUCCGGUUAGUGCAGCAGAACAUUUACUCUACGCGAUCGCGAAAAGCCUUCCGUCAUCGCGAAGCACUGUCGAUUUUAUUCCAUUUUUCUCUUCGCUAUCGCGACCAGAACCAAGCUAUCACAUUGUGCAUCACUGUAGCUAAAAACCAGCAAAUAGAAAUGGUCUUAAACCACCAUGAAACUCACCCCAACCCUUCGGGACACCGUCCGAACAUACCAACAAGUCUCAAAACAUAUCACAAAUUUAGUCGAGGCCUCAAAUCAUAUCAAACAACGCUAAAAACACGAAUCACAUUCCAAUUCAAAAUCAAUUAACUUUGAAACUUCAAACAUUCACAACCGAUGCCGAACCUAUCAAAUCACGUCCAAUUGACCUCAAAUUUUGCACACAAGUUACAUUUGAUAUUACGGACCUGGUCCAACUUCCAGAAUUGGAAUCCGACUUCGAUAUCAAAAAGUCCACUCCCGGUGAAACUUUUCAAAAUUUCAACUUUCGCCAUUUCAAGCCAAAUUCUACUACGAACCACCAAAUUGCAAUCCGGACGCGCUCCUAAGUCCAAAAUCACCCAACGGAGCUUACAUAACCAUCAAAAAUCCAAUUCCAGGUCAAAUACUGAAAAGUCAAACUUUGUCACCCCUAUCAAAUUUAAAGCUUCUAGUAGAGAAUCAUUCUUCUAAAUCAAUUUCGAAUAACCUGAAAACCAAAACCGACGAUUCACAUAAGUCAUAAUACAUCAUACGGAGCUACUCAUACCCUCAAACAACCCAACAAAGUGUAAAUGCUCAAAACGACUGAUCGGGUCAUUACACCUAGCUUUUUACUUUGCUACUUGGAACUUUAGGUGUAGUUAAUAAUACUUCUGUAGUUAGGUCAUAUUGGUAAGAGCAUUGAAGGCUUCCUUUUAUAGUGGCAUUGAAUGUCUUAGGUUUCAACAGAUUCAAACGAUAGUGGAAGAUGACGAAGAGUUGAUGAUGUGAGUAAAAUCAAGUGAAAUCAGAGAAGAACAGAUAUAAAAGUAGUGAUAGUUUUUAUCUGAGAUGGGGAAGCUGACCGUUGAAGGCAAGAUCAAUCGGGUAUAGGCCCAUUGUCCAGAGGUCACUAUGCUUGACCUCUGGACCAAGAAUAAUGAUGAUAACACUGAAGGAAUGGCAAUGCAUGCCCCAGAUUUGAAAGUCCAUACCUGUGUUACAAACAUUUUGAAGUAUCGUCUAUUAGCUAGGGUUUCGGAUUUUAGGGACUUUGAAUCUUAUCGAUGAAAGAGGAAAGAAAACAGCAGGAUUCACAGUCAUAGUGGACAAUAAGGAUGAUUCUAUGGUCGAUUUGUGACCUUGCACAAAUUUGUGCAAGGUUUGUGAUUGAUUUGUCUGUGGGAGUUGAGAGAAUAGAGAGUGGAAGGGGAAAGGGGGACGGCUGAGUCAAAGGAAAAUGAUUUAGGGUUUGGGUAGGUUAGUUUGUCUCUAAAAGUUAAGAGGGGUGGGAGUGAUCUGGGCCGUUAGACUUUAGAUCAACGGCCGUGACAAUUCAGGGAUUAAAUGUUUAAUGAGAAAAAUUAGUUGUCGUUGGAUCUCCGUGUUUCAACGAUAGGGAUCAAAGCUGUUGAGGCAUUAAAAUUAAUGGAAAAUUUGGAUAAAGUAUGAAUUGUUGAGCAAAUGAAUUAACGGCUCAGAUGAAAUGUGUUUUUUGUGUGAGUGGUAGAGACGGGUGACGUGGCAAAUUCUAAUUGGUUCUGUCACACCUUCUUUUUCCCGAGGGGAUAGGGGAGCUUUUUAAAUUAAAGUGACAUUAAUCGAAAUAGGAUUAUUUAUUUAAUUUCAGAGUCAUCACUUGGAAUAAUUUAUGGUAUCCUAAGUCACCGAUUUAUUUUAAAUCCCAAAUCGAGGAAAUUUGACUCUGUUUUAAAAGUUUGCGAAACUAGAAGGCCGGAUAAGAAAUUCUGUUAAUCCGGGAGAAGGUGUGAGGCACUCCCGAGUUCCAUGGUUUUAACACGGUCGGUCAACUAUUAAUAAUUAGCCUAAUUAUCUGAUUUAUUACAUAUUUAAAACAUAUGGUGCAUUUUAACUUUAUAACCGAUUUUAAUAUUUAUGGAAUUUAUUUGAACAAGACGUGAUACCGCGCACUCGUUUGUUUUUGUACAUAUUGUAAAUCGAGUCAAGUGAAACGCACUUGCGAUUUACAACAUAUUUAUUUUAUUAUUAUUUGAAGCAGGGCCGGCUUUUGGGUAAAGCCACUGAAGCCCAAGCUUUAAGCCCCCAAUUUCAGGGGGCCCCACUUUUUACCCUAUAAUAUUAUUUUUUACUCAAGUAUUUGUAUUCAUAUUAUAUUUUUUGGUAAAAAUUGAAAAGGAAAGAUAUGUAUGUUCCUUAAAAAUGGGCUCCUAAAAUAUAAAUACAAAAUUUAUGGAAUAAAUAAAGUAAUUAUUCUUUUUAUUUUAUUCUUUUUCUCAUUAAAUAUUAUAUAAACCUUUCUACUUUCUUUCUUAGUUUCCAUAAUAUUCAAUUUUCUUUUUAAAUCUUUCUUAGUUAUCACCAAACAUUACUACUAUUAUAUUUUUUCUUUAUGUAUCCAAGAUAUUCUAUUGUCCUGCAUUUUUCUUCUAUCAAGCUAAAGCUAUAAGAAAUAUAUUGAAUGCAACAAAUAUUUAUUUUCACAUAAAAUUAAUGAAUCAUGUUCCUCCAUUCCAACUUUUUAGUAUUAGUUUUCUACUAACCUUUGUUUUUUUUGAUAUUUUCAAUAUGUACGCAUAUAUUAUCGUUUUAGUAUUUAUUGAAAUUUAAAUAUAUCAAAUAGAAAAUAUGAGUCGGUUAUUCAAAAUAUAAGAAAAAAAGUUGAAUCUUUAAUACAAUCCCAAAAAGCAAAGAUGAUAGUACUCCAAUCGAUAUACUCAAUCAUAUAAAAAUACUUGGUUCUUUUUCAAAUGCUUAUAUUGCUUAUAGAAUAAUGAUAACAGUUCGUGUAAUAGUUGCCUCCGACCGCCCUCGACCACAAACUAGAAAUUUGAAAGAAGUAUUUUAAAAUUAAAAUUGAUAAAAUCUUACUUAAGAUCAACCAUNNNNNNNNACUGAAAAAUUAUGUAUAUAUAUAUAUAGGUUUUUUUUAGGAAAAAAAGUUUGGCUUUAGGCCCCUAAUAGUAUUGAGCUGCCCCUGAUUUGAAGUUAUGGCCGAGUCACGUGAAGCGCACACUCGAAUUGGGGAUUACGUAUCAUGACCACGCCACGGGAACCGUACCAAUAGUCACAAUGAUUAAUUAUUAAUCACGCCUAAAGCAGCUAGCCCAUUUUAAUUAUUUUCCUAAUAUUUGAAAUUAUUGUGAGGCCAAGAGUUUAUGGAAGGAGUUAUUUUGGAAGUCGAGAAAUCUUUUGGCAACUUAAAGUAUAGACAAGUUAUCCCCAUUUGGAGAUAUUCACAAAUUACUACUCUAUCCUUGAGAUUAUGAGACAAUUAUCUAUUAUGGAAGAGUGGGUUAACUAUUAAUCUAUUGACUAAAAUCAAUGAGGCCUGGCGGAUUAAACUUGUUCGGCCCAAGUGCUUUCGCAAGGUCCAUCCUUAAAUUAAGACACACAACCCACUUUGAUUUUGCAAGACCCAACAAUGACCUACGAGCCUGACACUAAAAAUUUUCAUUCCCUAAUUCUAAACAAAUUCCUUUAAGAAAGUUAUAUUCAUUCGUCUGAUCAACUUGGCAUGUAGCUCAACGGACAAAUAGAAUCUGAAGGCCAUAAGAAAGAUAAGCAACUAUAAUAAACAAAAUGGCUUAGCAUAUCCCACAAAUUUAGAGAUUCACCCUAUUACAUAAAUAAUUACUCACUCAUAGUGGCUGAAAAUUUAAACAUAAGGAAAUUUCUAAUUACAUGGCCAAAGCACUUUUUCAGAAUAUUUCUUGGACUAGUUUCAAAACAUUCCUAUGGAGUUUACUUUAAAUUCAACAAUCCAAUUUCGAAAUUUCAGUAAACUAUGAAGCAAUUGUUAAUAUCUAACUUAAAUCUUAAGAUUUAAACACCUAACAGAGCAAUCAGAUGUAGAAGAUAUAGUAGCCAACCAUAAUAAAUACACAAUAAUCAGACACGGAUUCAGCAGACAAUUCAGGCCUUCGUUCAUACAAUUAAUGGAGGAUUACAAGUGAGCAAUCACGUACCUAGCAGCAAACGAAACAAACUUCAAAAAUCAAAUAAAUCCAACUACUGGAGGAACUUGCUGAUUACAGGAAACAACAACAAAUCUUCAACAGCAGCAGCAACUCGAAUGUUUAUUAACGAGCUCAGUGCAAAAACAGAUUUAAAAUCCUUCGUGGUUUUUUUUACAUUUUUGUUUUGUUUUUGAAGCUCUUGAAAAAUCAAAUUUCAGAUUUCUUUAGGAUGGCCGAGUUUCUCUAUCUCUAUCGACGUAUAUGAGUGAGAGGAGAAGAGAGAAGAAGGAAAUGAAGGUGGCGGCUAGGGUUUAUAGUCACAAUGGGGGGGGGGGGGGAUUUGAUCUCUUGUUGUAUAUGGAGAGAGGUGCGCCGCUAGGGUUUCGCUAGGGGAGGGGUCUGUUUUUCGUAUCUGGUCUCUGUGUGUGUGAUUAGAUGCGAGAAGGUGAGAAAUGAGAGUGAAGAAGAAGAAGAAGAAGUGGGAGGUGUGGCGGCGCUAGGGUUAGAAAUUUUUUUUGGGGGGGGGG